rnacentral:misc_RNA from 1 species
GAUGAAGAACGCAGCGAAAUGCGAUACUUGGUGUGAAUUGCAGAAUCCCGUGAACCAUCGAGUCUUUGAACGCAAGUUGCGCCCGAAGCCAUUAGGCCGAGGGCACGCCUGCCUGGGUGUCACACACCGUUACCCUCGCGCCAACGUCCAUCGUUGGCCGCGGCGCGGGGCGUGCGCUGACCUCCCGCGAGCGGGGUCUCGUGGUUGGUUGAAAAUCGAGUUCGCGGUCGAGGGUGCCGUGAUGAAAUGGUGGAUGGGCGACGCCCGAGGCCAAUCACGCGCGACUCUGUCCGGGUCGGACUCCUGGACCCCUUCGGCGUCUCCGGACGCUCUUUGGCGAGACCUCAGGUCAGGCGGGGCUACCCGCUGAGUUUAAGCAUAUCAAUAAGCGGAGGA